rnacentral:rRNA from 1 species
UCCGGUGGUCAUACGCGCGGGGCAACACCUCUUCCCAUUCCGAACAGAGCCGUUAAGCCCGCUGCGGCCGAUGGUAGUCCUUCGGGGCGAGAGUAGGUGGCUGCCGGAG